rnacentral:rRNA from 1 species
UACGUAGGGCGCAAGCGUUGUCCGGAAUUAUUGGGCGUAAAGAGCUCGUAGGCGGCUUGUCACGUCGGGUGUGAAAGCCCCGGGGGCUUAACCCCGGUCUGCAUUCGAUACGGGCUAGCUAGAGUGUGGUAGGGGAGAUCGGAAUUCCUGGUGUAGCGGUGAAAUGCGCAGAUAUCAGGAGGAACACCGGUGGCGAAGGCGGAUCUCUGGGCCAUUUACUGACGCUGAGGAGCGAAAGCGUGGGAGCGAACAGG